rnacentral:rRNA from 1 species
UCAGUCGACUCCUACGGGGAGGCAGCAGUGGGGAAGUAUUGCACAAUGGGGGAAACCCUGAUGCAGCCAUGCCGCGUAGUGUGAAGAAGGCCUUCGGGUUGUAAAGCACUUUCAGUAGGGAGGAAGGUAGUGUAGUUAACACCUGCAUUAUUUGACGUUACCUACAGAAGAAGCACCGGCUAACUCCGUGCCAGCAGCCGCGGUAAUACGGAGGGUGCGAGCGUUAAUCGGAAUUACUGGGCGUAAAGCGCAUGCAGGCGGCCUGUUAAGUCAGAUGUGAAAGCCCGGGGCUUAACCUCGGAAUUGCAUUUGAAACUAGGCAGGCUAGAGUCUUGUAGAGGGGGGUAGGAAUUUCAGGUGUAGCGGUGAAAUAGCGUAGAGAUCUGAAGGAAUACCAGUGGCGAAGGCGGCCCCCUCGGACAAAGACUGACGCUCAGAUGCGAAAGCGUGGGGAGCAAACAGGAUUAGAUACCCUGGUAG